CGCGGAGUAGAGCAGUUGGUAGCUCGUCGGGCUCAUAACCCGGAGGUCGUAGGUUCGAGUCCUGCCUACGCAACCA
rnacentral:tRNA from 1 species